rnacentral:rRNA from 1 species
GGCGGUGCUUUAUACCCUUCUAGAGGAGCCUGUUCUAUAAUCGAUAAACCCCGAUAAACCUCACCAUUCCUUGCUAAUCCAGUCUAUAUACCGCCAUCUUCAGCAAACCCUAAAAAGGUACAAAAGUAAGCACAAUCAUAAUACAUAAAGACGUUAGGUCAAGGUGUAACCUAUGGAAUGGAAAGAAAUGGGCUACAUUUUCUAAUAUAAGAAAAUCCACUACGAAAGUUAUUAUGAAAUUAGUAACCAAAGGAGGAUUUAGCAGUAAACUAAGAAUAGAGUGCUUAGUUGAAUUAGGCCAUGAAGCACGCACACACCGCCCGUCACCCUCUACAGUCAA